AUAACACUAUUCAUCCUCAUUUUUCAUCCCAAAAGUCGUGCCCUCCAUAGCCAAGGAGUUCCAAGCUUUAAUCUUCAAAUUCUAGCCCCGUUUCUCAACGUAUUGAAUACCCGAUCGCGCAAUCGGUGUUAAAUCAAGCUACACCCAAAUGUUAGCAAAUGAAAGGAAAAAAGGAUCGACGAAAGAAGAAAUGUCGAAUGGAAAGGUUUGGAAAUAACGUCAUCCAGGUUAAUUGGAUCGGGGAUUCCUUUGGAUAUUUCAUUCGUUUCUUCGCCAGCACUGCAUCCUCGGUGGGUCACUGAUCACUGCUUGCGGCGUUUGUGUCCAUUUAUGUUAGAUGUGUCAUGUAUAGUAUUUGAAUAUUUGUAAUAGCUUCCGCUGUGUUUGUAAAUAGUGUUGGAACUUUUGCUGAUAGGUUAAUGAAUUAAGUUUGGUUUUUAA